rnacentral:rRNA from 1 species
AGGGCACCACCAGGAGUGGAGCCUGCGGCUUAAUUUGACUCAACACGGGAAAACUCACCCGGCCCGGACACUGGAAGGAUUGACAGAUUGAGGGCUCUUUCUUGAUUCAGUGGGUGGUGGUGCAUGGCCGUUCUUAGUUGGUGGAGUGAUUUGUCUGGUUAAUUCCGAUAACGAACGAGACUCUAGCCUACUAAAUAGAUAGUCGGCUUACAAACGUCGACUAGACUUCUUAGAGGGACAGGCGGUGAUUCAACCGCACGAAACAGAGCAAUAACAGGUCUGUGAUGCCCUUGGAUGUCCGGGGCCGCACGCGCGCUACACUGAAGUGAUCAGCGUGCUUUUUCAGCCUACUCUGUCAAGAGUGGGAAACCCAAUGAACCUUCUUCGUGAUUGGGAUAGGGGAUUGUAAUUAUUCCCCUUGAACGAGGAAUUCCCAGUAAGCGCGAGUCAUAAGCUCGCGUUGAUUACGUCCCUGCCCUUUGUACACACCGCCCGUCGCUACUACCGAUUGAAUGUUUU